GUUUUCCAACUGGGCGGAUUGCAAAACGAGGUAAGAAUUUGGGCUGUAAGGAAUGAGGGUGAGGAUUGAGGUGAUAAAAUAAUGCUACUGAUAAGACUCUAGUGGUUCACAGUUACAGAGUUUUCAAGGCUGAGAGAUCUUGAAAGAGUGCUAUAAUUUAUAAAUUGUAAAUGUGUUUAUAAUUUGUUUAAGAAUAAGCAGAUAUGGAAAUUCUUGUUCUCACAGGCAAUGAAAGGGAACUAUUAAGAGAAAGAGGUAAGAGAAUGGAAACAGGUAAAAUUUAUGACUGACAAUGGAAUGAUUAAUUUCACUGGGAAAAAUACAUACUGUAAAGUGUUACACAGAUGCAGCAUAUUAUUAUUGUGAAAUAAAGUAUAAAACUUAUCAUGGAAGCUCACAGGAGGGAAAACAUUAAAAGGAAGUAAAAGAUAUUUACCAAUUUAAAAAAGUGAACAAUUCCAGAUAAAAAUUUAGGAGAACAUUCAAAUAAAAUAUCUUACAUUAGAUGCCGUAUAGAAAGAAAAAUGUGUG
rnacentral:lncRNA from 1 species